AUGUCCACGAGCGCUAGAGGUGGAGGCGGCCGGCACGGCGGCCGCGGUGGCGACCAGCAGGGUGCGGGAGGACGCGGUCGAGGCCGAGGAAGAGGCGGGGAGCAGCAGGAUGCCCACCGUGGCCAGGGCGGCGGCGCCGACGCCGGGGUCCAGCGCGGUGGCCAUCGCGACGCCGGGCGAGGCCACUUGGGCGCUCAUCGAGGCGGGCUAGGCCGAGGCGGCUUGGAGGUGGGGGCGGUGGAGCGUCCCGUGGGCGCGGGGCGCGGCCGGCCGCCGGCAACGGCGACGGUUCCGGGUCAGGCAGAGGUGGAGGCGCUGAGCGGAGAGAUGGAGAGGAGGUUGGCGGUGUCGGAGGCGGUCCAGGGGUCUUCGUCCUCGGCGCCGGCGGCGGCCGCCACGGGAGCCCAGGAGUCGCAGGUGGCCGUGGUCGUGCCGCCUCGGAAUCUGCCUCCGGCGUCGAGCAAGUCGACGGGGUUCCAUGCGCGGCCGGGGUACGGGACGGCCGGCAAGAGGUGCCGGGUGCGCGCCAACCAUCUCCUCGUGCAGGUCGCCGGCAAGGAGAUCUACCACUACGAUGUAUCAAUCAGUCCUGAAUCGAUGGCUCGUGAGAGGAACAGAUCUAUAAUUAAUGAACUUGUUAGAUUGCAUAAACAACAUUUGGAUGGGAGAUUGCCUGUUUAUGAUGGAAGAAAGGGAAUGUUUACUGCAGCUCCACUGCCAUUUAAAACCAAAGAAUUUAUUGUCAAAGUAUCAAAUACCGAGAGAGGAUACCAGGGGGAAAAGGAGUAUAAGGUCACCAUAAAGGAAGUUGCAAAACUAAAUCUAUACAAUCUUCAGCAAUUCUUGGCUGGUAGGCAGAGAGAACUGCCGCAGGACACUAUCCAGGCUCUUGAUAUCGCUCUGAGGGAAACCCCCACUGCAAAGUAUACACCCAUCUCAAGAUCAUUUUUCUCAAAAUCAUUUGGACAUGGUGGUGACAUUGGCAGCGGGGUGGAAUGCUGGCGAGGGUAUUAUCAGAGCCUGCGCCCCACACAGAUGGGAUUGUCACUGAAUAUUGAUAUUUCUGCAACAGCAUUUUACAAAGCUCAACCAGUUAUGGAUUUUGCACUGGAAUAUCUUAACAUCCGGGGUGAUGCUCCAAGGCGUUUGUUCGACCAGGAUCGCCUGAAACUAAAGAAAGCCCUCAAGGGAGUCUGA
rnacentral:rRNA from 1 species